UUAUUAUAUACAUGACAAAAUUACUGCAAUUUGAUUGGUUAAGAGGAGUGCAAUUAUUUCAUUAAUUGCACUCUCCAGGAGUGCAAUUAAUGAUUUUCGUGAUGGCUGGGGGGAGCGGGAAAUCAAAACAACAAAAUUCAAUAUGGCGGCAAAAUUUAGAUAAGUAUUUCUAACAAAUGUGGACGAAUUUAACUGAAUUUUGGCAAAAGAAUGAGUUUAAGAAACAUUGUAUGGCAAAAAGAGCCUGUGAAAAAUACCUGGAAAGAGUCUUAAGAAAUAAUCUUGGCGGGAUGCAGCGAAACGUGAC
rnacentral:lncRNA from 1 species